CACCAAAUCAAGGUUGUUCCUGCAGCAGUUAAUUUCUAUUUCUCAUUCCAUAAAUUUCAAUUCAUCACACUCGAUUAAUCUAAAAUCUCAAUUAGGUUAUUAUCUUCUUGAUUUACUGUUUGAGACAUGUUUUGAGGCCUUUGUGCUAGCUAUAUCCCUAUCUCAAAGUAGUAGAACCCACUUUGAAAAUAUACAUCUUCCGAGG
rnacentral:lncRNA from 1 species